AAAUAUAAGAAUGCUUAAUUUAUGAAAACUUAAUUAUAGAAUAGGUUUCUAAAUUUGUUUUUACCACCCUUUUUCUCUUUGGUAGAAAGAAGCCGGCCGGAGCUAUUAAUAUAAAAUCAAAUCACUCCUACAAGAGAAGAAAAAAAAAAAAGAUCACAGAAUAAUUUAGCAAUGACGAUAAACAUAUAUAAAUUAGGAAAAUAGAUUGUAGGAUGUAAGGUCAUCUCCAAUCCAUUACACCAUUUUUGAUGUAAAAAUUACACUAUUUUGGUGCAAUUUUGACACCAAUUUUUUUGGGUGUCUCCAACC
rnacentral:lncRNA from 1 species